GCAUUAAUGGGGUAGUGGUAACCUGGGUCGUUGCCAUCAGGGGACGGAGCAAUACGUAAGCCUCGACCCGCCGGGGGUUCGAUUCCCUCUUAAUGCA